GGGCCCGUAGCUCAGUCGGUUCAGAGUGCCAGCCUGUCAAGCUGGAAGUCGCGGGUUCAAGUCCCGUCGGGCCCGCCA
rnacentral:tRNA from 1 species